UUAUUGGAGAGUUUGAUCCUGGCUCAGGAUGAACGCUGGCGGCGUGCCUAAUACAUGCAAGUCGAGCGGAUGGAUUAAGAGCUUGCUCUUAUGAAGUUAGCGGCGGACGGGUGAGUAACACGUGGGUAACCUGCCCAUAAGACUGGGAUAACUCCGGGAAACCGGGGCUAAUACCGGAUAACAUUUUGAACCGCAUGGUUCGAAAUUGAAAGGCGGCUUCGGCUGUCACUUAUGGAUGGACCCGCGUCGCAUUAGCUAGUUGGUGAGGUAACGGCUCACCAAGGCAACGAUGCGUAGCCGACCUGAGAGGGUGAUCGGCCACACUGGGACUGAGACACGGCCCAGACUCCUACGGGAGGCAGCAGUAGGGAAUCUUCCGCAAUGGACGAAAGUCUGACGGAGCAACGCCGCGUGAGUGAUGAAGGCUUUCGGGUCGUAA
rnacentral:rRNA from 1 species